rnacentral:lncRNA from 1 species
AACCAUCACCCAUCAAAAUUAAACCAAAACUUUAUGAAAAACAUUAAAUUUUUGAAUCAAAAGUCCAAACCUUUUUGUUCUUGGCAAGAACUUCAAGAACAUUGAAGAACACUCAUGAAAACUCAUAAUAGCUCCAUUAAUGUUUUCACUCACCAAAAACUCAAAUUUUCAAUACUCAAAAGAGGGCUAACAUCCUAGGGUACUUAGGGGUUCCAAAAGUCACUUUAAAACCAUUUUAACAAGACAAACAUGAACCCAAAAAAUCACCCUUUGGAUUUGGCCGAAUUUCCCAACAUACAUGGCACCAAAUUUUAGUUCUAAUAUUCAUGCUUAAAUGAAAUACAUCUACAACAUUUGAGAUGCUAAAUUUUCUAGCAAAAUUUAUAUUCAAAAGCAAGAACAAAGCUUGUAACAUUUACAACAUUUAAAUCACAAACCAUGAAAAACACAAAACCCAAAAGGAUUCACCAUAAACUAGGCCUAGGCUCUGAUACCACUUGAAGGAAAAAUUU